CGGGGUGUGGCGCAGCCAGGUAGCGCACUUGCUUUGGGAGCAAGGUGUCGGAGGUUCGAAUCCUCUCACCCCGA
rnacentral:tRNA from 1 species